CAGCGAGCGACACGUGGAUGAUGCAUCACCAACGGUCAGGAUUAAGAGGGUUGGUUGAGGUUACCAAAACCGGUUUUCAACUGUGGAUGAUUCGAACCGGUUCACCCAAACAGGCAGUAUCGAUCAAAAUGUCAGGAGUUAAUCCAUUCUUAACCAUUUGAGAAUGCAUCUGCUUGCCAAGCUCUAAGCAUGAAGGAAAUGACAGUGACCGUAUCAAACCAAGAUAAACUGACUGGUUAACGUUAUUUCCAGUUGAAUUCAUCUCCGAAACCAACCUGACAGCUUUAGAAAACAUCCUUUUCUGUGCAUAAGCAGACACCAUAAGACCCCAAGAAAUCGAAUCCUUCAUGGGCAUUUCAUCGAACAAUUUCUGAACAUCUGCAAAACUCCCACAAUCACAGUACAUCUUCAGAAGGCAAUUAACAAGAAACGUAAGUGGGCUCGGAAACACUCGGCGCAGAUGCUCAUGAAUCAAUCUUCCAUCCGACAGAGAUUUCAUUUUCCCACAUGUAUACAAGAGACAUUCAUAGGAAUAAUCAGUAACAGAUAAACCCGCAACAUCCAUUUCGAUUAGAAACUUGUGAGAUUCAUUCAAAUUUCCUUGUUGCAUUAGCCUGCUCCAACCUUUACUUUAAACAAAACAAUGAGAUGCCAUUUCAGCAUGUUCUGCUGCA